rnacentral:rRNA from 1 species
CAGCAGCCGCCGUAAUACGGAGGGUGCAAGCGUUACUCGGAAUCACUGGGCGUAAAGAGCGUGUAGGCGGGUAGUUAAGUCAGAAGUGAAAUCCAAUAGCUCAACUAUUGAACUGCUUUUGAAACUGAUUACCUAGAAUAUGGGAGAGGUAGAUGGAAUUUCUGGUGUAGGGGUAAAAUCCGUAGAGAUCAGAAGGAAUACCGAUUGCGAAGGCGAUCUACUGGAACAUUAUUGACGCUGAGACGCGAAAGCGUGGGGAGCAAACAGGAUUAGAUACCCUGGUAGUCCACGCCCUAAACGAUGUACACUAGUUGUUGUGAGGCUCGACCUUGCAGUAAUGCAGCUAACGCUUUAAGUGUACCGCCUGGGGAGUACGGUCGCAAGAUUAAAACUCAAAGGAAAUUGACGG